GGCCUUGUUGCUCAGGUGGUAGAGCGUCCAGAUGUGGGUUCGAAUCCCAUCAAGGCUA
rnacentral:tRNA from 1 species